rnacentral:rRNA from 1 species
AGCAGCCAUUCAUUCAAAGAGUGCGUAACAGCUCACUAGUCGAGGGUCCGGGCAUGGAUAAUAAUCGGGUAUAAGGCAGACACCGAAGGCGCGGGAUAGCAUUUAAGAAAGUAUCGGUAGGGGAGCAUACUCACAGCGUGGAAUGGUGUACGUAAGUUAUCCUGGAGCGGUGAGUAAAGCAAAUGUAGGAAUAAGUAACGAUAAGGAGGGUUAGAUUCCCUCCCGCUGUAAGACCAAGGUUUCCCGGGCAAUGCCAAUCAGCCCGGGGUCAGUCGGGUCCUAAGUCUAAGCCGAACGGCGAUGGCGAUGGCAGAGACGGUUAAUAUUCCGUCACUGCCGCAUGGGGCGACGUGGAGACGGAGCAGUGAAACCACCGCGGGGCGACGGAAGUCCCCGUUGAAGAGUGUAGGUGUUGAGGAUGGCAGGCAAAUCCACCGUCCGAGCUGAACUUGAUAGUAUGGAGUCUUCUUCGGAAGAAUCCAAUAGUGUGGGUAAUCAUACUCCCGAGAAAAUCCGCUAAGCUUAACCCAUGCGGCACCCGUACCGCAAACGGACACACGUAGUCGGGUUGAAUAUACUAAGGCGCUUGAGUGAUUCACGGUUAAGGAACUAGGCAAACUGACCCUGUAACUUCGGGAUAAA